rnacentral:piRNA from 1 species
UGCACCUGAGAAAGGUUGGUUAUCAAGGA